AGAUGAAGAACGUAGCGAAAUGCGAUAAGUAAUGUGAAUUGCAGAAUUCAGUGAAUCAUCGAAUCUUUGAACGCACCUUGCGCCCUUUGGCUAUUCCGAAGGGCAUGCCUGUUUGAGUAUCAUGAACACCUCAACUCUCAUGGGUUUGCCAUGAUGAGCUUGGACUUUGGGGGUCUUGCUGGCCUAUGGUCAGCUCCUCUCAAAUGGAUCAGCUUGCCAGUGUUUGGUGGCAUCACAGGUGUGAUAACUAUCUACGCUUGUGGCUUUCCACCAGGUAACCUUCAGUGAUGAAGGUUCGCUGGGGCUUAUAAAAUGUCUCUCCUCAGUGGAGACGGCUUUUUUGAAUGUUUGAUCUCAAAUCAGGUAGGACUACCCGCUGAACUUAAGCAUAUCAAUAAGCGGAGGA
rnacentral:misc_RNA from 1 species